UUCUUCAUUAAUAAUAAGAGAACGCAAAAAAGCAGUAAACAGUUCCAUGUCAUAUUUUCUACUUACUAAAUAAUCAAAAUUGAGUUUCUAAACCGACCUUCACUCAGUUUCUACGAAUGUCUGCACACAAUGUUCCAAUAGACCUUAAUCUAUAUUUAAUACUAUUUGUUUUACUAAUGGGCUCAUUCCUCGCCAAACUCUUGCCAAAGAAUGCCACAUUGUCAUUAAAUCGUGUAUUGUAGCAGUUUUUCCUCCAAAACAUAAAAAACAUGUUGGUCUACGUUACAAUAAUUAGCACCGUCUUUACUUUAUUAACAUGCCAUCCAGUGCCUCAAAACCCGCCGCCGGAACGUCCUUCCGUUACCAAUUCAGUGAACGAAGCCGAAAAACCGACCGAAAUUUUAAACUCCGUCUCAAUGAACGAUCUUUUGGAGUCAUUCGGGGGCUCAUCGACCGAGACACAAACACCGGAACCGGCCACAAACUCCCACAACGGCCUCUAUUUCCUCUUUGACUGGAAUUCGUUCCUGGAAGUCGACGACCAGAUGGGGCGCAGGGUCAAUUUGCGCUUUCAACCCAAAAUCGGGGACCCCAAAAGGUUCAUCUCCGUCACGGUGCCAUAAAUGUACAUUUUUUUCAUAAAUUUUAUUGUGUUUUAAAAACACAUCAUAUUAUCAUUUGUCAAUUAUAAUAAACACAAUAUUUUUUGCACAACAUA